rnacentral:rRNA from 1 species
CGGAGGCAGCAGUGGGGAAUAUUGCAUAAUGGGCGAAAGCCUGAUGCAGCAACGCCGCGUGUGCGAUGAAGGCCUUCGGGUCGUAAAGCACUUUUGGAGGGGAUGAGGAAGGACAGUACCCUCUGAAUAAGCCUCGGCUAACUACGUGCCAGCAGCCGCGGUAAAACGUAGGAGGCGAGCGUUAUCCGGAUUUACUGGGCGUAAAGCGCGUGCAGGUGGUUCGGUAAGUUGGAUGUGAAAGCUCCUGGCUUAACUGGGAGAGGUCGUUCAAUACUACCGGACUUGAGAGUGGGAGAGGGAGGUGGAAUUCCGGGUGUAGUGGUGAAAUGCGUAGAUAUCCGGAGGAACACCAGUGGCGAAAGCGGCCUCCUGGCCCACAACUGACACUCAGACGCGAAAGCUAGGGGAGCGAACGGGAUUAGAUACCCCGGUAGU